rnacentral:lncRNA from 1 species
GGCAGGUGAUGGCGUGGGCAGGAAGUGCACAGCCUGCCUUUACCUUACGUGAACACUGUGUCUGGGCAAUGGGCUAAGAACUGAAGAGGACAAGCUAGAAACGGGCUCCUUGCUGCCUCUAUAAACCACGUGUGUGUACAUCUUAGCGAGCCCACAGACAAAAAAGGCAAAGAAGCAGAGACCAAGAAGGAGCGCCUAAGAGGCACAGAAAAAGAGAGCCACAGAGACAGAGAGAUGGAGAGGCAGACAGACAGAGGAGAGCCAAGGCACAGGGGAAGGGGCAGGCAGAGGCAAGCACUUCCUGCCAUCUAAGGAGCCACACCUUCGACUGGAAGGGGUAGUUUCAAUUAGCACACUGUACAUCUUGUCAACCCACCUCCACUUGAAGCUGUGAUAAUAGAUGACUGGAUCGAACCAGCUCACCUGCUCCACGUUGCUCAUUUCUCUCAGCAAAUCCAAGGACUCAGAAGGAACCCUUCACCAACUGCCCAUUCCCGCAUGCCGACCUGCAGAGCUAACUCCAAGCUUGCUCCACCCACCUUCUGUCACCACCGUCCCUUUUCUUGUCUCAAAAGUCAUCAUGAAAAUGCAAAUGUUGCCACAAUUUGUUGAAAAAAUAACAAAAUUAUAGUAUGUGAAAGAGUAUCUUGAAAAUUGAAUUGGAAAUUUCUCUGAUUUUUGCCUUAACACUGUAGAAUUUUAUUUCUAGAAUUUUACCUUAUUUUCUUAUUUUUUUCCCACCAGGCAAUAGAGAAAUCAGCUAUCUUAUGACUUCAGACAUCUCUUGAUUUUCUAAAAUGAACCCUAAACUUAAUACAUCCAAAAUGGAAUGCAAGCUCUCUACCUGAAACAAAGUAAAAUUUUAAAUAAGUAAAUAUUCUUUUCCAAGGUUCUAGGUUCCUGAGAAUAGCAUAACCACCCCAAGAUCCAGGAAUCUUCCUUGACAUCUCCCUCCCUCUCGCCUGCCUCAGGGAUCCACCACCAAUCCUCUCUGUUCCACCUCCUCCCAAACCCAAGGGAAUACAGGUGAAUUAUUCCUUAUCCAAAAUGGUUGGGACCAGAAAAGUUUCAAAUUUCAGAUACUUUAGUAUUUUGGAAUAUUUUGCAUAUACAUAAUAAGAUAUCUUGGGGAUAAGACACAAAUCAAAGCACGGAUUUCAUAUAUGUUUCAUAUAUGCUUUAUUCACAUAGCCUGAAGGUGAUCUUACACAAUAUUUCUGGUAAUUUUGCACAUGAAUUAAAGUUUGUAUUAAG